rnacentral:rRNA from 1 species
UACGAAGGGGGCUAGCGUUGUUCGGAAUCACUGGGCGUAAAGCGCACGUAGGCGGCUUUCUAAGUCGGGGGUGAAAUCCUGGAGCUCAACUCCAGAACUGCCUUCGAUACUGGAAAGCUCGAGUCCGGGAGAGGUGAGUGGAACUGCGAGUGUAGAGGUGAAAUUCGUAGAUAUUCGCAAGAACACCAGUGGCGAAGGCGGCUCACUGGCCCGGUACUGACGCUGAGGUGCGAAGGCGUGGGGAGCAAACAGG